CGAGGGUGCAAGCGUUAUCCGGAUUCACUGGGUUAAAGGGUGCGUAGGCGGGCAUGUAAGUCAGUGGUGAAAUCUCAGAGCUUAACUCUGAAACUGCCAUUGAUACUAUGUGUCUUGAAUUUUCUGGAGGUUAGCGGAAUAUGUCAUGUAGCGGUGAAAUGCUUAGAUAUGACAUAGAACACCGAUUGCGAAGGCAGCUGACUACGGAUGAAUUGACGCUGAGGCACGAAAGCGUGGGGAUCAAACAGGAUUAGAUACCCUGGUAGUCCACGCCCUAAACGAUGAUUACUCGACAUACGCGAUACACAGUGUGUGUCUGAGCGAAAGCAUUAAGUAAUCCACCUGGGAAGUACGACCGCAAGGUUG
rnacentral:rRNA from 1 species